UACGUAGGGGGCGAGCGUUAUCCGGAAUCACUGGGCGUAAAGGGUGCGUAGGCGGCCAAUAAAGUCAGGGGUGAAAGGCUACGGCUUAACCGUAGUAAGCCUUUGAAACUUAUUGGCUUGAGUGCAGGAGAGGAGAGUGGAAUUCCUAGUGUAGCGGUGAAAUGCGUAGAUAUUAGGAGGAACACCAGUGGCGAAGGCGACUCUCUGGACUGUAACUGACGCUGAGGCACGAAAGCGUGGGGAGCGAACAGGAUUAGAUACCCUGGUAGUCCACGCCGUAAACGAUGAGUGCUAGGUGUCGGAGUCGACAGACUUCGGUGCCGCAGCUAACGCAUUAAGCACUCCGCCUGGGGAGUACGGUCGCAAGACUGAA
rnacentral:rRNA from 1 species